AUACGUAGGGGGCGAGCGUUGUCCGGAAUGAUUGGGCGUAAAGGGCGCGUAGGCGGCCCGGUAAGUCUGGAGUGAAAGUCCUGUUUUUAAGCUGGGAAUUGCUUUGGAUACUGUCGGGCUUGAGUGCGGGAGAGGGAAGUGGAAUUUCCAGUGUAGCGGUGAAAUGCGUAGAGAUUGGGAGGAACACCAGUGGCGAAGGCGACUUACUGGACUGUAACUGACGCUGAGGCGCGAAAGUGUGGGGAGCAAACAGGAUUAGAUACCCUGGUAGUCCACACUGUAAACGAUGAAUGCUAGGUGUAGGGGGUAUCGACCCCUUCUGUGCCGCAGUCAACACAAUAAGCAUUCCGCCUGGGGAGUACGGCUGCAAGGUUGAGACUCAAAUGAAUUGACGGGG
rnacentral:rRNA from 1 species